GAAAGUGAGGGUUAUUUGUCUGUGACAUCUGUCACUCCAUCACCUGCCAGGCAGAUUUAGCUGAUGUGGCUAAGUGGUGUCUCCUUUCUCCCUCACUGCUCCAGGUACUUCAGUUCCAAAGCUGCAUGAUCAGUUGAUAAGGAUGAAUUUUCCCCACAGAGGAGGACAGUCUUUUUUUUUUAUUAUUAUGUACUUUCCUCAAUUACAUUUCCAAU
ensembl:misc_RNA Gm22036 predicted gene, 22036